AUGAGAUUUAUUUUAUUGAUAAAUAGAAUAAAGAUUUGAAAAUAAUAUAAAAUAUUUAGUUGAGGGCUGUUUUGAUAUUUUAGAUAGUUUUGAGGGAGAAAGUGAGAUAAGAUAAGUAAUUAAGAAAAGAUAUAAAUAGGGAAGACCUAAUAUUCUUAGAAAACUAUUGUACGUGAAAACUUUUGGAAAAAGGGAGAAAAAGCCAAGUCUAGAGGAAUCAAGGUAGAGUGUUGCGAUUUUCUUCAUUCAAGGUAAGGGUGAGACUAAUAAUUCAAUAGCAUUGAUUGUUGUAAUUCUGAUGAUUAAAUGACAAAGUUAGGAUUGAUUUAGAAAAGUUUGGAAAUUAGGUCAAAACCUUAAAAAUUGAUGAUCAAACGGUAAAACUUGUUUAGAUUGAUGAAAGAACCGUCCUUUAACCUUAGAACAUGUUUAGGAUGGAUUAUGGAAUCAAAAUUUGGCUUUGAACCAUGUUGUAUGUCGGAUUUUUGAGAAAAACCCUAGUCUGCCCGUGCUUCUGUUCAUCGCUCGCCACGGCGAGUGAUGAUCCUCGCCUCGCGAGUGAUGAUCUUCAUCGCUCGCCACGCGAGCCCUUCCUUUUCGCCUCGCGAGUUGUUUGGUUCAACUCGCCAUGGUGAGCAACCCCUCCUCGCCUCGCGAGCUUAGGCAGAGUGCAUGUCAUAUUUUGUGUUUCGACCUUUUUAGUUGGACCUUGGAUGCCUAUGAGUGCCUGAACAUACCUAGUAUUGAUUAGGAAUGAAUGUAGGAUCAGAGGGAACCCAGAACAAGCUUAGUUUGGGAGUUGAGUGGUACUCGCCAUGGCGAGUAAGUACUCUCGCCUCGCGAGUACAACCAGAAU
rnacentral:lncRNA from 1 species